CUACGGGAUGCAGCAGUGGGGGAUAUUGCACAAUGGGCGAAAGCCUGAUGCAGCAACGCCGCGUGAAGGAUGACGGAUUUCGGUCUGUAAACUUCUAUCAGCAGGGAAGAAAAUGACGGUACCUGACUAAGAAGCCCCGGCUAACUACGUGCCAGCAGCCGCGGUAAUACGUAGGGGGCAAGCGUUAUCCGGAAUUACUGGGUGUAAAGGGUACGUAGGCGGCUGAUCAAGUCAGAUGUGAAAGCCCGGAGCUCAACUCCGGGAUUGCAUUUGAAACUGGUCGGCUAGAGUGCAGGAGAGGAAAGUGGAAUUCCUAGUGUAGCGGUGAUAUGCGUAGAUAUUAGGAAGAACACCAGUGGCGAAGGCGGCUUUCUGGACUGUAACUGACGCUGAGGUACGAAAGCGUGGGGAGCGAACAGGAUUAGAUACCCGGGUAGUC
rnacentral:rRNA from 1 species